GGGGCGUAAGCGCACGCAGGCGGUCUGUCAAGUCGGAUGUGAAAUCCCCGGGCUCAACCUGGGAACUGCAUUCGAAACUGGCAGGCUAGAGUCUUGUAGAGGGGGGUAGAAUUCCAGGUGUAGCGGUGAAAUGCGUAGAGAUCUGGAGGAAUACCGGUGGCGAAGGCGGCCCCCUGGACAAAGACUGACGCUCAGGUGCGAAAGCGUGGGGAGCAAACAGGAUUAGAUACCCUGGUAGUCCACGCCGUAAACGAUGUCGAUUUGGAGGUUGUGCCCUUGAGGCGUGGCUUCCGGAGCUAACGCGUUAAAUCGACCGCCUGGGGAGUACGGCCGCAAGGUUAAAACUCAAAUGAAUUGACGGGGGCCCGCACAAGCGGUGGAGCAUGUGGUUUAAUUCGAUGCAACGCGAAGAACCUUACCUGGUCUUGACAUCCACAGAACUUUCCAGAGAUGGAUUGGUGCCUUCGGGAACUGUGAGACAGGUGCUGCAUGGCUGUCGUCAGCUCGUGUUGUGAAAUGUUGGGUUAAGUCCCGCAACGAGCGCAACCCUUAUCCUUUGUUGCCAGCGGUUAGGCCGGGAACUCAAAGGAGACUGCCAGUGAUAAACUGGAGGAAGGUGGGGAUGACGU
rnacentral:rRNA from 1 species